ACGUAGUUCUGCCCUAUGAUUAUUUAAAUGGCUGCAGUAUUCUGACUGUGCAAAGGUAGCAUAAUAAUUAGUUUCUUAAUUGGGGACUUGCAUGAAUGAAUUAAUGGGUAUUAGUUUUAUUAAUUAUAUUACUUUAAUUUAAUUUUUAAGUUAAAAAGCUUAAUUUUAUAUUAGGGACGAUAAGACCCUAUAGAACUUUUUAAAUUUAAAAUUAUUUUUUUUUUUUAGUUAAUUAAUUGAUUUUAAUUUUAUUUUUAUUUUGUUGGGGUGACAGAUAAAUUUAAACUUUCUCUUAAAUAUUCAUUAAUUUAUGUUUUUUUGAUCCUUAUAUUAGAUUAAAAGAUUAAGUUACCUUAGGGAUAACAGCGUAAUUCUAAUGGAAAGUUCAUAUUUAUAUUAGAGUUUGCGACCUCGAUGUUGAAUUAAGAUAAGAUUUGGGGGUAGGUUUUCAAAUUCUAAGUCGGUUCGACAUUUAAAUUCUUACAUGAUCUG
rnacentral:rRNA from 1 species